CCAAGUGGUUUUGGUUUGGCUUCCUCGGACACUUUAUUCCAUGUUGCCUAAUAGUUAAAAAGCUCCUAUUUUAUAGUCAGUGCAUCUUUCUGUGGGUCCCCAGAGAAGGAAAGACAGUGAGUCUAAAAGUCCUAGGAGAAAUCUCAUUGAUCCAUCUUGAUUUGUGUUCCAUCUGUGAUCAACCCUCUGAAGUAAAGGAGCAGUUCUUCCUCCAAGAGCAUAGAUGCUCUAGCAGGAACCUUGCAGCUACUCUCUUCAACAUGACAUCAAACUUGACUUCCCCCUUGGAAGCUAGAUUUGGCCAUGUGAUUAGCUGCAGCUAAUGUUUGUGAGUGCAAGCCUUACAAAUUGAUGUGCAGAUUGCUACAUCCCCUUCCCACUGCCAAAUGAUGGUGAAAGCAUGUGUCAAAAUGAUGCCUCUUGAGUCUCCAAAUCCUUCUUCUGACUUGCUCUGGACAUGUAAUAUAAUUGAGCA